CACUCCUGCGGGAGGCAGCAGUGGGGAAUUUUGGACAAUGGGCGAAAGCCUGAUCCAGCAAUGCCGCGUGUGUGAAGAAGGCCUUCGGGUUGUAAAGCACUUUUGUCCGGAAAGAAAUCCUUGGCUCUAAUACAGUCGGGGGAUGACGGUACCGGAAGAAUAAGCACCGGCUAACUACGUGCCAGCAGCCGCGGUAAUACGUAGGGUGCGAGCGUUAAUCGGAAUUACUGGGCGUAAAGCGUGCGCAGGCGGUUUGCUAAGACCGAUGUGAAAUCCCCGGGCUCAACCUGGGAACUGCAUUGGUGACUGGCAGGCUAGAGUAUGGCAGAGGGGGGUAGAAUUCCACGUGUAGCAGUGAAAUGCGUAGAGAUGUGGAGGAAUACCGAUGGCGAAGGCAGCCCCCUGGGCCAAUACUGACGCUCAUGCACGAAAGCGUGGGGAGCAAACAGGAUUAGAUACCCCAGUAGUCCCA
rnacentral:rRNA from 1 species